UAGCAAUACGGGAGUGGCAGACGGGUGAGUAACGCGUGGGAACAUACCCUCCGGUUCGGAAUAACUCAGGGAAACUUGAGCUAAUACCGGAUACGGCUGAGAGGCGAAAGAUUUAUCGCCGGAGGAUUGGCCCGCGUUCGAUUAGCUUGUUGGUGAGGUAACGGCUCACCAAGGCGACGAUCGAUAGCUGGUCUGAGAGGAUGAUCAGCCACAUUGGGACUGAGACACGGCCCAAACUCCUACGGGAGGCAGCAGUGGGGAAUAUUGGACAAUGGGCGCAAGCCUGAUCCAGCCAUGCCGCGUGAGUGAUGACGGCCUUAGGG
rnacentral:rRNA from 1 species